rnacentral:rRNA from 1 species
AACGGCAGCAUGAUCUAGCUUGCUAGAUUGAUGGCGAGUGGCGAACGGGUGAGUAAUACAUCGGAACGUGCCCUGUAGUGGGGGAUAACUAGUCGAAAGAUUAGCUAAUACCGCAUACGACCUGAGGGUGAAAGUGGGGGACCGCAAGGCCUCAUGCUAUAGGAGCGGCCGAUGUCUGAUUAGCUAGUUGGUGAGGUAAAGGCUCACCAAGGCGACGAUCAGUAGCUGGUCUGAGAGGACGAUCAGCCACACUGGGACUGAGACACGGCCCAGACUCCUACGGGAGGCAGCAGUGGGGAAUUUUGGACAAUGGGGGCAACCCUGAUCCAGCAAUGCCGCGCGUGUGAAGAAGGCCUUCGGGUUGUAAAGCACUUUUGUCCGGAAAGAAAUCGCACUUACUAAUAUUAGGUGUGGAUGACGGUACCGGAAGAAUAAGGACCGGCUAACUACGUGCCAGCAGCCGCGGUAAUACGUAGGGUCCAAGCGUUAAUCGGAAUUACUGGGCGUAAAGCGUGCGCAGGCGGUUGUGCAAGACCGAUGUGAAAUCCCCGGGCUUAACCUGGGAAUUGCAUUGGUGACUGCACGGCUAGAGUGUGUCAGAGGGGGGUAGAAUUCCACGUGUAGCAGUGAAAUGCGUAGAGAUGUGGAGGAAUACCGAUGGCGAAGGCAGCCCCCUGGGAUAACACUGACGCUCAUGCACGAAAGCGUGGGGAGCAAACAGGAUUAGAUACCCUGGUAGUCCACGCCCUA